GCCAGUCACCACCACUACCCACGGCCAGUCACCAUCACCACUACCACUACUUCAAACACCAGCACCACCACCUGCGGUUAGUCGCCACCACCACAUCUGGCCUAUCACCAACGCCAACACCACUAUCCACGGUCAGUCACCAGACCACACUCGGUCAAUCACCACCGUCGCUACCCACGGCCAGUUACCGCCACGGGCACCACCCCUUGCGGUCAGUCACCACUACCACCACAUGACCAGUCACCACCACGACCUUUGUGCUGUCUCACCACAAUCAAUAGCAACACUAACACCGCCACUACGUCGCCUUCACCGCCACUACACCACAUCCUGCAAGACAGUACUGAAGCUGUGAAGUAUCUUAGUAGACUAUGAGUAUGACUUUCCUCGGCCCAGCCUUGAUGAUACUGGUGAACAAGAAUGGUAAAAAAAGAAGAGUGAUCAAUGAAAAGGAAAUAGAAAUCCUGAAGUUCAUCUCAGCCUGAAUGUUUGUAUAAUGCCAGUUUUGCACUAGUCCAGUACAGUAUUAUGUAUUUUUUGUUGGAUGAGCUUUGGUCACAGAUGAGAAAAUACUCAAAACUAAGAGAUGAAACCGUAGCAGGGUGAGAAUUAGGAUGAUUAGUCAAAUAGAGAUCAUCCUAGCAGGUGUUCAGUGUGUCCAGCAAUAUCAAUGAUUCAUGUGGGAGCAUUCACCACUUGUGUAAGAUUCAGUCCUCCCUCCCACUCCACACCAUAUUGGCCAGUGUGGGCAGAGUACUUCAGCCAUUCUGUGUUGUGAAUGUUGAAAUCAUUAAGUCAUUAUGCAUCCCCCGUGUGAUCUUCAACAUACGAGGCACUUGGGUGGAUAAUGACGAAUCAACCAAAACCACAAAUAAAGGUAAUUGUGUUUAGUUUUGCAUUAUUUCUUUUAUUUGUAUUUCAGUGACCAUCCAUAUGAUUUUUAUUAUUUAGGUGUCAUUUGAUAGAGGAACUACAGUACUUUACGAUGGUGCAAGAAAUAUUUACAUCAUUUAUGUUUAAGUACCCCAAAAUGCCAUUUUAUGUAAACAUGUCAAGUUAGGAUUAUAUGAUCUCUAACAGUGCAAGUUUCUGAUAUAACACUGAUGAAUAUGUAACCUUUAAUAUCCACCAACCACCGUGCACAAAGAGCAGUGACAUGGUGGCUCUUAUGUUGAAACUGUAGCCGUGUCACAGACCAUCAGCAAAGCUUAUACACCGUAUACAUUUAUCAUCACCAAGAGAAACUAAUUCUUCCACGACACAUAUUGAAAAUUAUUUAAACAUAUCUGAUAACAACAAUUUAUUUCAUUUACCAUAUUACAUGAUGGGUUUACAUGUAUACAAUUUGUUAAAAAACUAAAGCCACCAUCUCUUGAUCAAAUAUCUACACGAAUGGGACAAGCAGCUAAAAUACACCUACAUGUAAUCCAUGAAAUGAAACCUGUCUAUGAUUAAGAGGCAUUUAAUUGGUGUAGGACACUGCCUAACCUAUCCCUGUAAUAAAUAAAAGAUAUCUCUAUUGCUCCUGCUGAACAAGAAAACAUGGCCACAGCUUUCUUUUGUUACACCUAACAUAUUUCAUAACACUAGUAUUUUGGUAUGAAAUAUAUUUUUUUUUAAUUUUGCCUUCCACACUUAUAGUAAAUUAAGUUAAUGACUAUCACUGUUUAGAAGCAUCAGUAUCAAAUAAGAUAUAGAAGUUAUUUCUUGGAUAUUUUUAUACAAUAAAAAAUUACACUUUUCUUUGCAUAAGAGUGUAAAUAAGGUUGAGAAUGUUAGUUGUAUACUGUCAGUACAUUGGCUAACUAAACAGAAGCUUCCAAUACUGACAAACAUAAAUGUAAGCCUUUGGCAUCACUCAACACUUGGCACAUGAAGCACUGUGCUGUGCAUGGGGCUCCCCACUCAUCAGUUACUCACUUACUGGUUUGAAAAUUAAAAUUACAUUACAUUACUACUGAAAAUUAAGCAGUUAAAAUUAUCACACUGAAUUCAUAUAUGCAUUUGUGUAUGUGUCUAUCAUUUGUAUGUGUGUGUACAUCAAUAGCAUAUGUGUGUAAGAAAUGUAUGCCUGUGAACAUAUAUAUACUUUUUACUGAGGUGGCAUCCCUACUCCUAAGUUUUACACUUUUUGUUUUCAAUGAUGUACAGAAAUACAAUUAAUUUUUUUUAAAUAAAUAUUAAAUUUAAAUCAAUUUGCUUAAUAUAAAAUAACAGAUGAAAGUUCAAAUGUGUCAACAUGGGAAGUGAAAGAGUAGAGAGGUAGAUAAGGUGUGGAGCAUCAGUGGGGCUGCCUCCAUGCACGGCACAGGUGAACAGUGGAUGACUAGUACAUGAGAACCUGUGGGAGCUAUAGCAUAGACACUACCCUGCUACAAACAAUGAAUAAUGAUGGUUAUGUGAAUAAUCUGCAUGACUGCUUGUAGCAUUUAACAAAAUAAAGGAGUACUCUUCAA
rnacentral:lncRNA from 1 species